rnacentral:rRNA from 1 species
UACGUAGGGUCCGAGCGUUAUCCGGAAUUACUGGGCGUAAAGAGCUCUAGGCGGUCUGUCGCGUCAGCUGUGAAAUCCCGAGGCUCAACCUCGGGUCUGCAGUCGAUACGGGCAAACUAGAGUAUUGCAGGGGAGACUGGAAUUCCUGGUGUAGCGGUGAAAUGCGCAGAUAUCAGGAGGAACACCGGUGGCGAAGGCGGGUCUCUGGGCAACAACUGACGCUGAGGAGCGAAAGCGUGGGGAGCGAACAGG